rnacentral:rRNA from 1 species
UGAGUAACCUGCCCUUAACUCUGGGAUAAGCCUGGGAAACUGGGUCUAAUACCGGAUAUGACUCCUCAUCGCAUGGUGGGGGGUGGAAAGCUUUUUUGUGGUUUUGGAUGGACUCGCGGCCUAUCAGCUUGUUGGUGAGGUAAUGGCUCACCAAGGCGACGACGGGUAGCCGGCCUGAAAGGGUGACCGGCCACACUGGGACUGAGACACGGCCCAGACUCCUACGGGAGGCAG